AUGAUUAAACACCUGACCGGCCUGACGUAUGCAUGCAUUGCAGCGGUGGUUGGUCCGGGGUUCAUCACGCGAGACUUGACGUUCGAGAACACGGCAGGGCCGGAGAGAGACCAGGCGGUGGCGCCACGGAGCGACUCGGACCUCUCCGUCUUCUACCACUGCGCCUUCGAGGGCCACCAUGACACGUUGUACCAGCACACGCUCCGCCAGUUCUAUUACGACUGUCGCGUCACCGGCACCGCCCGCUUCAUCUUCGAAGAUGCCAUGGCCGUUUUCCAGAUCUGCCUCCUCCUGGUCCUCGACCCGCUCUCGGGCCAGAAGAACACCGUCAGGGCCCAGAGAUGUGUCAACGGCUCCUUCAACAAUGGCUUCUCCUUUCAGUUUUGCAACGUCUUCGUGCAGGACGACCUCCUACGCGCGCAGGCCAACCAGACCGACAAGGCCACCGCCACGCAUACUUUCCUGGGCCGGCCAUGGAAGACGUACUCGUAG
rnacentral:rRNA from 1 species